GUGCUUGCUUCAGCAACAUAUACACUAAAAUUGGAACAAUACAGAGAAGAUUAGAAGGAUGAUACAUAAAUUCAUGAAAUGUUCCAUAUUUAU
ensembl:snRNA U6 U6 spliceosomal RNA